rnacentral:rRNA from 1 species
CGGGUGAGUAACGCGUGGGUAACCUGCCUUAUACAGGGGGAUAACAGUCAGAAAUGACUGCUAAUACCGCAUAAGCGCACAGAGCUGCAUGGCUCGGUGUGAAAAACUCCGGUGGUAUGAGAUGGACCCGCGUCUGAUUAGGUAGUUGGUGGGGUAACGGCCUACCAAGCCGACGAUCAGUAGCCGACCUGAGAGGGUGACCGGCCACAUUGGGACUGAGACACGGCCCAA